GAAGAGGAGAGUGGAAUUCCAUGUGUAGCGGUGAAAUGCGUAGAUAUAUGGAGGAACACCAGUGGCGAAGGGCGGCUCUCUGGUCUGUAACUGACGCUGAGGCUCGAAAAGCGUGCGGGAGCAAACAGGAUUAGAUACCCUGGUAGUCCACGCCGUAAACGAUGAGUGCUAAGUGUUGGAGGGUUUC
rnacentral:rRNA from 1 species